GACAUUCUUAGAACCGAAGAGGAAGCUACAGCCUAGUCUUCAUUUGGAUGUGUGCUCACCUGCCCAGGAAAAGAAACUGGGGCAAUCCUUCUGUCAAUCAACAUUUGCUGUGAUCUCCAUGCUGAGCACAGAAUAUGAAAUGAUUCUACGAAGAGUGAAUAAUGAUGGCUAAUAUGUUAGCAUCAAAGUGAGUUUGUCUGUGUCUUCACUGUAUAUUUAGAUAAAUAAUCUCCAUACUUGAAGGACAAAAUAGAAAAAUGCAUAAACAGGUACUACUGUUGUAUUAUAUAAUCAUCACAUCCAAACUGUGAGCAUCUGAGAAAAUACUUUCAUAAAUAUUAUUCCAAUAGCUUUUUUAGAGUUUCAGAGUGGCUGGAAAUGAAUAAGUUUCUUUUUGUUGUUGCUGCUGUUUGCUGUUGUUGUUUUGUUUUGUUUUCACUUUAUCUCUUGGCAGGAACAAGCUUCAUCUGCUAAAUAUCUGGCUGGCCUGUGGACUUUUAAAGAUACAAUAGCCUUGUCAAGUGGGGAAAAAAAUAGUCACCAGCUUUAAGUAUUUCCAAUGAUAGAUCUAUUACAUUUGCAAAGAGAUAAUUCUUGCAUUGUGUUUCUUGCAAGAAAGCAAAUGACACAGCCCUAUGAGACCCAUGGACCUUCUUAUCUAUUGAGCUAAAGGAAUGGAUUGAAUAAAGACUUGGGUAACCGAAAUAAGACUUUACUGCUUUACGGAAGAAGAUCAGGUUUAAUAUUAUUUUUCUCUUUUCUCUGCCCCUUUAGCUUCCUUCACAAAGAUGACUCUCUGUGCAGUAGAAAUAGGAACCUUGUAUACCUAUGGUAAAAAUGACAAUCUCACUCCACCAUCCUGCCUGCAUAUGAACAACAGAUUUGUCAAUGUGUGACAGGUUGACAGCCCAGCUCCCAGCUGCUUGUCCACUGUUGUUAAAUCAGUACCUUGUCUAAGUGUUCAGCAAAAAGGCAGCCUGUUUCCUCCAUUCACAGAGGCUAGGGUGGUUGCCAGUUAAAAACAAAUAAUGGCUUUAGGCUGCACUGCCAUAAUGCAUUGAAAAGAUGCAAUCUAAACCCUUGUGUGCUCCUUAGGCAACACAUAAUUGUGCUGGAAGUUCAACCUCCUUUUGCAAAACAACAAAGACAAGUCUAAAUGGGAUCAGUGAAAGACAGCAGUACUGUGGUCUUUGGAAAUAUCAUCACACUUCUGGACAUAGAAGCAAAGUACGCUGCUAUACACUUAGUUGGACCUUUGAUUCUUCUAGCACAGUAUUGUUGGCUCUGGUUGGUAACACAUCUCCAGCAUUUCAGAUCAAAGUUGCUCCACAUAGCUCAAACCUGAGCUCUCUAACAUGUCAAACAGGAGGAAAACAUUGUUGACAUUUGUGCUCACAAGAAUUGGGAAAGGUUGAAUCUGCAAACAAAAUUUAAAAUGCAACGUGUUCUUCAAAAGG